AGAGUUUGAUCCUGGCUCAGGAUGAACGCUAGCGGCAGGCUUAACACAUGCAAGUCGAGGGGCAGCGGGGAGGAAGCUUGCUUUCUCCGCCGGCGACCGGCGCACGGGUGAGUAACACGUAUGCAACCUGCCCCUGUCAGGGGGACAACCCGCCGAAAGGCGGGCUAAACCCGCGUACAUGCCACCGGGGCAUCCCGGAGGCAGGAAAGGCUUCGGCCGGACAGGGAUGGGCAUGCGGCGCAUUAGGCAGUAGGCGGGGUAACGGCCCACCUAACCGACGAUGCGUAGGGGUUCUGAGAGGAAGGUCCCCCACACUGGUACUGAGACACGGACCAGACUCCUACGGGAGGCAGCAGUGAGGAAUAUUGGUCAAUGGUCGGGAGACUGAACCAGCCAAGCCGCGUGAGGGAGGAAGGUACAGAGUAUCGUAAACCUCUUUUGUCAGGGAACAAAGACUGGGACGCGUCCCCGGAUGAGUGUACCUGAAGAAAAAGCAUCGGCUAACUCCGUGCCAGCAGCCGCGGUAAUACGGAGGAUGCGAGCGUUAUCCGGAUUUAUUGGGUUUAAAGGGUGCGCAGGCGGUCUGUUAAGUCAGCGGUCAAAGCCCGGGGCUCAACCCCGGCCCGCCGUUGAAACUGGCAGUCUCGAGUUGGAGAGAAGUAUGCGGAAUGCGCGGUGUAGCGGUGAAAUGCAUAGAUAUCGCGCAGAACUCCGAUUGCGAAGGCAGCAUGCCGGCUCCACACUGACGCUGAGGCACGAAAGCGUGGGUAUCGAACAGGAUUAGAUACCCUGGUAGUCCACGCAGUAAACGAUGAAUGCUGGCUGUCCGGGGGGACUGACCCCUGGGUGGCGAAGCGAAAGCGAUAAGCAUUCCACCUGGGGAGUACGCCGGCAACGGUGAAACUCAAAGGAAUUGACGGGGGCCCGCACAAGCGGAGGAACAUGUGGUUUAAUUCGAUGAUACGCGAGGAACCUUACCCGGGCUCAAACGGGGAGUGGCGCAGGCAGAGACGCCUGUUUCCCACGGGACACUCCCCGAGGUGCUGCAUGGUUGUCGUCAGCUCGUGCCGUGAGGUGUCGGCUUAAGUGCCAUAACGAGCGCAACCCCCGCGUGCAGUUGCUAACAGUCAACGCUGAGGACUCUGCACGGACUGCCGGCGCAAGCCGCGAGGAAGGCGGGGAUGACGUCAAAUCAGCACGGCCCUUACGUCCGGGGCGACACACGUGUUACAAUGGGUGGUACAGCGGGAAGCCAGGCGGCGACGCCGAGCGGAACCCGAAAUCCACUCUCAGUUCGGAUCGGAGUCUGCAACCCGACUCCGUGAAGCUGGAUUCGCUAGUAAUCGCGCAUCAGCCAUGGCGCGGUGAAUACGUUCCCGGGCCUUGCACUCACCGCCCGUCA
rnacentral:rRNA from 1 species